AUGUAUUCAGUCCCUGUACUGCUCUGGUUUCUUGUUUCAUAUGUUCACUCUGCAACCAUUCUCCAGAGUCCUCAGUCAGUGGUGGAAGAACUGGAUAGAAAUGCUUCCCUUGAAUGUUCUGUGGAAGGGACAUCUAAUCCCAACAUCUACUGGUAUAGGCAACUACCCAGUGGAGUGAUCAACAUGCUUGCCUACUCAAUAGGCACCAGCCAAGCACAUAAUACUGGGCCGAGACACUUCAAACCAAGCAGAACCAAUGACACCAUGUUACUCUUGAACAUUACGGGCCUCUUAGCCAAUGACACAGGAGUGUAUUACUGUGCUUGGAGCCGCACACUGAGACAAGUAUAUACAACACCUGGACAAAAACUUCUCCUUCUUUCCAUGCACUGGCCUGUAGGCCCAUCACUUGUCGUCCCAGUGCAGCUCUGUGUGAAGAGGGAGGAUAGCAAAGUUGUCUAUGAACCCAGUUUUGUGGUGACAGACUAUGGGUAAAAUCACAGGAGAUGGAAGCAACACAGCCAUGGGCUGAAGGGUCAGUGAUACACCCCGCCGAGCUUUUCAAGGGAGAUUUUUUUGACAAGAGGGUCUCCGCAGCACAUUCCUUUCAGAUCAGGGAAGGAGAGGGUUAUUUUAGUAGUGGGGGGAGCAAGGGAGGCUGAUGGAACUAAGAAAGAUGAAUUACAGGCAGUAUAGGAAGAAAGCAUUUUAUAACAAUAUUGUUACUCCCUGAAGGUGGAAUUAGAAGUUCCAUUUCUCGAAUGAUUAGACUGUAUAGUAUGGCUGCUCUUUUCAAACUAAUACUGUUCCAUUCAGUGGCAACUUUCACAAUGGGUUAAAAUAAUUAGGGUAGCAUGAAAGAGGCAAGAAUGAAAUGAAUUUGCUUUAAUGUGAUGGAAAAUGGUGUCUGGGAACAUCUCUCCAGAUUUUACUGAAAUGUAAUUUUAUAUCGAUUAUACUAUGUCUCUGACUGUAGCCUCCAGCUCCCACUGUUGGGCUGUGUCUACACU